GCCCUACGGGGGGCUGCAGUGGGGAAUAUUGCGCAAUGGAGGAAACUCUGACGCAGCGACGCCGCGUGGGUGAUGAAGGCCUUCGGGUUGUAAAGCCCUGUCGGCUGGGAAAAAGGUAGUCGUGCUAACACCACGAUUGCUUGAUGGUACCAGCAAAGGAAGCACCGGCUAACCCUGUGCCAGCAGCCGCGGUAAUACAGGGGGUGCUAGCGUUGUUCGGAAUUACUGGGCGUAAAGGGCGCGUAGGCGGUUUAACAAGUCUGUGGUGAAAUCCCGGGGCUUAACUCCGGACGUGCAGUGGAAACUGUUAGACUUGAGUGCAGUAGAGGUUGGUGGAAUUCCCAGUGUAGAGGUGAAAUUCGUAGAUAUUGGGAGGAACACCGGUGGCGAAGGCGGCCAACUGGACUGCAACUGACGCUGAGGCGCGAAAGCGUGGGGAUCAAACAGGAUUAGAUACCCUGGUAGUCU
rnacentral:rRNA from 1 species